rnacentral:rRNA from 1 species
UGGCUUAGAAGCAGCCACUCAUUAAAAGAGUGCGUAAUAGCUCACUGGUCGAGUGGUCUUGCGCGGAAAAUAUAACGGGGCUAAGUAUCUAACCGAAGCUUGGGCUUGUGUUAACACAGGGGUAGGGGAGCGUCGAAUACGGGGUGAAGUCAGAGCGGAAGCACUGGUGGACUGUAUUCGAGUGAGAAUGCCGGAAUGAGUAGCGAGAAUUAUGUGGGAAUCAUAAUGGCCGAAAAUCUAAGGUUUCCUGGGGAAGGUUCGUCCGCCCAGGGUUAGUCGGGAGCUAAGGCGAGGCCGCGAGGCGUAGUCGAUGCACAUACGGUUGAAAUUCCGUAACCACCUUAUCGAAUGAAAGCUGACACUUGGAAAUAGCGGGACCCGGAGAUUGGUAGAUCCGGGCGUAAGGGACCGAAUACGAGUAGGGAAGUCCGCGAUGUUCCGAGGCGAGAAAAGGCGAAGGUAGGGUGCCCGUACCGCAAACCGACACAGGUAGAUGAGGAGAGAAUCCUAAGGCCAACGGGAGAAGGGUUGUUAAGGAACUCGGCAAAAUGACCCCGUAACUUCGGGAUAAGGGGAGCCUGUCUAUGGCAGGCCGCAGAGAAUAGGCCCAAGCGACUGUUUACCAAAAACACAGGUCUAUGCUAAAUCGAAAGAUGACGUAUAUGGGCUGACGCCUGCCCGGUGCUGGAAGGUUAAGAGGAGAUGUCAGGCAACGAAGCAUUGAAUCGAAGCCCCAGUAAACGGCGGCCGUAACUAUAACGGUCCUAAGGUAGCGAAAUUCCUUGUCAGGUAAGUUCUGACCCGCACGAAUGGCGUAACGAUUUGGGCACUGUCUCAACAGCCCGCCCGGCGAAAUUGUAGUACCGGUGAAGAUGCCGGUUACCCGCAACUAGACGGAAAGACCCCAUGGAGCUUUACUGCAGCUUAAUACUGGAAUUCGGUAAUUCAUGUACAGGAUAGGUGGGAGACUGGGAACUACUGUCGUCAGGCAGUAGGGAGUCGCCCUUGGGAUACCACUCUUGAAUUGCUGGGUUUCUAACCUGCGGCCGUGAAUCCGGUCGGGGGACACUGUUAGGCAGACAGUUUGACUGGGGCGGUCGCCUCCUAAAAGGUAACGGAGGCGCUCAAAGGUUGGCUCAGCACGGACGGAAAUCGUGCAAUGAGUGUAAACGUAUAAGCCAGCCUAACUGCGAGACCGACGGGUCGAGCAGUAACGAAAGUUGGAGUUAGUGAUCCGGUGGUAUGUGAGUGGAAAUGCCAUCGCUCAACGGAUAAAA